rnacentral:rRNA from 1 species
UCCCUACGGGGGGCAGCAGUGGGGAAUAUUGCACAAUGGGCGAAAGCCUGAUGCAGCAACGCCGCGUGAGGGACGACGGCCUUCGGGUUGUAAACCUCUUUUAGUAGGGAAGAAGCGAAAGUGACGGUACCUGCAGAAAAAGCACCGGCUAACUACGUGCCAGCAGCCGCGGUAAUACGUAGGGUGCAAGCGUUAUCCGGAAUUAUUGGGCGUAAAGAGCUCGUAGGCGGUCUGUCGCGUCUGCUGUGAAAACUGGAGGCUCAACCUCCAGCCUGCAGUGGGUACGGGCAGACUAGAGUGCGGUAGGGGAGAUUGGAAUUCCUGGUGUAGCGGUGGAAUGCGCAGAUAUCAGGAGGAACACCGAUGGCGAAGGCAGAUCUCUGGGCCGUAACUGACGCUGAGGAGCGAAAGCGUGGGGAGCGAACAGGAUUAGAUACCCUAGUAGUC